rnacentral:misc_RNA from 1 species
CUAUGGAGAAUCGUCUUCUGCAAUGAAGACAUUCAAAUCUUAAAUCUAGCCGGUCGGUUAGUUGCUCACUCGUUGCUCAGUUUUGAGAGUUCAAACUCUCAAAA